GGAGAGUUUAGCUCAAGUGGUAGAGUAUGUGCUUAGCAUGUACAAGGUGCUGGGUUCAAUCCCCAGUACCUCCU
rnacentral:tRNA from 1 species